ACACUUUGGGAGACAGAUGAGUGGAUCACCUGAGGUCAGGAGUUUGAGACCAGCCUAGCCAACAUGGUAAAACCCUGUUAGCCUAGUGUGUUGGUGGGUAUUUGUAAUCCCAGCUACUCAGGAGGCUGAGGCAGGAUAAUUGCUUGAAACCAGGAAGCGAAGGUUGCAGUUAGCGGAGACUGCGCCACUGGGCUCUAGCCUGGUAAGUCUCCAUCUCAAAAAUAAAUAAA